GGGCGUCCUAUCUCUUGCGAGAAGAGCGCACCUAGAGCGCACACGCUGAUACCCGAAAGAUGGUGAACUAUGCCUGGCCAGGACGAAGCCAGGGGAAACCUUGGUGGAGGUCCGCAGCGAUUCUGACGUGCAAAUCGAUCGUCGGAGCUGGGUUUAGGGGCGAAAGACCAAUCGAACCAUCUAGUAGCUGGUUCCCUCUGAAGUUUCCCUCAGGAUAGCUUGCGCUCGAGCGAAACGAGUCUCAUCCGGUAGAGCGAAUGAUUAGAGGCCUUGGGGUCGAAACGACCUCAACCUAUUCUCAAACUCCAAAUAGAUGAGAACCCCGGCUUUCUUGAACUCUGUUUAUGAAGCCGGGGGCUUGGAUCAGAGUGCCAAGUGGGCCAAUUUU
rnacentral:rRNA from 1 species